CUGUAACUUUAUUGCUUAUGUCCCUUCCAACAACCAUGUUUAUAACAAUCCUACCUUAAAGAGAAAGUUUCAAAUGUUAAUAUAGCUUUAACGAUGAUGAACAAAGGAGUUUGCUUUCGAAAAAAAGAACCUGAAGCUGCAAGUUGUUAUACGCGCCGAUGAUAAACACCAGCCCUGAACUUUUCUUAAACACCCCACCAAACAACUUGUCGUAUGCUGCAUUCAUAUUGAGUUCACCAUUACCAUCAAACCAUCAAUGUCUUGCAAAUAAAUAAUCUCAUAAAUGACCACCAAAGGAUGUCCUUUAAUAACUUCUCCUAUAAAUAGAUGACGAAAAGCAAUAAGGAGUUGAUGUCUGUAUAUUACCUUUUCGGCUCUGCAAUGUAUGAGAAUCGGAUGGCUUUUUACAUCUACAGAUAAAAGAAAACAUUUACUUAAAGACAUCAUGAAACAUCAUAUAAGAAGGGCCUAUGGCUAUCAAAAAGACCGUGUUGAGUAUUGGAUUCCUUACUACCUAAGACCUUAAGAACAUCCAAAACCGUAUCUUUUGGCAUAGGAGUUGAAGGGUCCUGCAAAUCAAAAAUGAUCAAGUUAUAAGAAAUCAACAGUAACUCAAAGAGUAUAAGAAUGGAAGUUAGAAACAAACAAAUUGACCGAAGGAGAAUAGCAAGAAACAAAAUAAUUAAUCUAAACUCUCUUAGAUUGAAAACCUGAUAAGAAUUUGAGGAGAGCUUUUUCUAAGGAUGAUGUUUACAUGAUGAAGGCUUACCUUUUUAUAGGUAGAGAUGCACCGCUUGGAAGAGAGGGGAGAUGCAUUGAAUGAUGAAUUGUGCUUGGAGUGGGACAAAGAGUUAAGACGGUCGUUAAUGGUGAUGAUUCAAUGAAUUUCGUAACGGUUCGGAAGAGAAGAAUUUCAGUCGAAACUGAACGAACUGAGCUCGAUCAUGAGAAUCUCCAUGAAGAUCCGCCGAAGAAAACCCACCAGAAAUCAUAUUGCCGUUUAAGCUUUCCAGAUAUCGAAGAAGAGAAUGAACCCUUGAUUGCCGCAGACGUGAACAUGAUUAGCUGGGCUGGGGUUUGUACUUUAUGUUAUUAGAUAACUUAACAAAACCCAACAAUUGCAAGGCCCAUUUCGUAUGUAAACAUAAACAAAAACGCAACAAAACUUAUAUGAGAGUGAUACGUGGCGACUUCUCCCUCCCCUAUUUAGUGACGUGUCAUCAUAAAAAGAGAGUCAAUCUCUACUUUAUGUUAUUAGAUAUCGCUCAAUCUCUUCUGAGAUCAUAAACAUUUUUUUUUAAUAUCGUAAGUGUGUAUCAUGCCUUAGUAUUUUUUGUUUCUAUGCCUUGGUUUUUUUGUUGCCCCGCUAACAUUGUACGUUUACUUGCAGAAAAUAUGAUUUAAUAAAUCGAUGAUGACGUGUGUACUUGAUCGUCUAGUCUUCGCGAUCAUUUGAUGACAAAUUCAUAAAAAGCAACUUUGAUUUUCAACAUUUAAAGAACAUGUGUUGUUCCACCUUUGACCACGUUCGUAAGAAACAAACCCAUUUCACUCAGUUACAUCUGAAAAGAAUUAAUAACCCUAAAAGCUUUUAUAUCAAAAGACAUUCUGGAGUUGGUGCGGCAUAUACAUCUCAGGGUAUAAAACUUAGCCCUUUUUAGCAAUAGACACUUAGAAUAAUUAAUAAUAAAGAAACUGUUUAUCUUCUAAUAAUCAUCACAAAGUUUAAUUCCUGUUUGUGCCAAACUUUGUUCUCAAAAGAGUAGAGAUCAUUCCAAUUAGAUAUAGACUGUUCUUCAAUGUAGCAGCGAGUAUGUUUCUUCAGAUUCUGCACACAAUUCCCAUAUACAUAUUUUACAUGUAGAAAAAGAGAAAAUUAUCGAAGCGUUAAUAAGGAAGAAAUAGAAAUUAAAACAGUAUACGUUGAUCGUCCUGAAGCAUUUGCUUUCUAAUUUAGGGCUCUUGUGAUUCUAAAAAUCAGCUUCGUUUGAUGCUGACUAAGCAAGUGCAAGCUUGCAAACGUAUUCUUCAGACCAUGCUUGCAAAAAGCAUACAAAUACAGCCGCAGGAUCAACCUUUGCAUUCAAACACAACAUUCUCAACUAAGACGGUAUAUAAAAAUGUUGUAAAAAAGAGAACAAAAACUUACUAUUGAACAUCUUUGCCAUAUUUGUCAUUAGAUGCUCACUUCGGUAUGCUCAAAACCUUGUGAGCCUAGCCUAAUACAUUUCAUUAAAAGAAGAUAUGAAAUUAAUGCGAGAGAGGAGCACGCCGUUACAUCAUUAGCGAUCCAGUAAACAAUAGACUAAACCCCAAGAAACAGUAGCAUGUGAACAUAAACACUUAACCAUAACCUGAAAAAAUUUUGCAGCUUGAAGAUCUCGGGGGUUCUUACGUGAGGAGUUUUCCUUGCCUGAAUUAGAAUCCAAACAGGAAAAGGUAGAUACGCUUUUUAAUCUCAGAUUUUGAAGCAAUAGUUUUGAUGACAAAGAACUCAACACACAUUCCAUUCACAAUUUACAGUCAACAAUUAUUAAGGUAAACGCUAAAGUGCCUAACAGCUUUUCAAAUACAAUUUUACCUCUCGAGCUUCGAUUAGAUGUAAGGCUGAUAUCUGAGCUUGACCUUCAUCUGCUGUAUAGAAAGCGAGAAGAUAACUUUUGUGUAGAUUCUAAGCUAUAGCUUCUGCCCAUCUCUUAUGAUCUAUCCUGCCCAAUAACUGUCUAAAUCAAUGAAAUAUAGAUGCUCAAAGGUGCAUGAAAUAAGAGACUGGAUAAGAUAGGGCCAUAUGGGUUCAUGAGACUCAUAAUUUUCCAGUAGCGAACAUUGUAGAAAACUAUCUUUUAAGGUGUCAUGGAAAUACAUAUAGCAGCUUAUCGGUAAAUUUAAUGGACACUGCAUUUAACGGACUUAUCUUGGUAUAGAUGAAGAUGAUGUCCAACAGAAAUACAUAUUAACUUCAUAGACUUUUGAAAUCAAGGAACUCUAUCAUCCCAUAACCAUCAUAAACUAUUUCUACACAAAUAACUAAGUAUAUAGAAAUCAGAAAGGAUACAAAAAUCAGUAAACCAUGGAAAUUUAAGGCAGACAUACUCACAUACCUAUUAGACUGAAGCUUACAAAAAUAAACCACUUCAUCCGAUGCACUGAAAAAUAUACAAAAACCAAAUAGAA